rnacentral:lncRNA from 1 species
UAGCGAGCAUUGUGGUUGUGUUUCAACGACGGUGGUUGGGUUUUUCGCCGCCAUUGUCAUCGGGUUUUGUGUUAUCCUACAAAUCGUGGUUGAAUUUUCCCUUCAAGGUCUGAUUCUAAUUAUGAGCUCGACAUUGCUCCAAAGUUGCGUUUUUUCAUAUAUGGUCUCACCGAAAAUGGGGGCGUUGUCGUCUUUGUCAACA